ensembl:lncRNA
UGUUAUCUCAGAGACUCCCUGUGGAGCUGGCUGGGUGAAUUAAAUCAUUUGGAUAUAGCACAUAGGGUCCCUUGGGUUACUGUCUAGCUAACAAGCUUUAAAAAAACCAUCUCCAUUGAAUAGAAUAUGGAUGGCCAUGGCAUUAUGCUUCUGCACUUUACAGUGGGGUUUUAAAACCACACACAUGAAAUGUUCUGUUCCUCUGCGAUACUCGGGCUGAUAGGUCCUGUUCCUCUGCGAUACUCGGGCUGAAACAUCUUGUUCCUCUGCGAUACUCGGGCUGAAACAUCCUGUUCCUCUGCGAUACUCGGGCUGAUAGGUCCUGUUCCUCUGCGAUACUCGGGCUGAUAGGUCCUGUUCCUCUGCGAUACUCGGGCUGAAACAUCCUGUUCCUCUGCGAUACUCGGGUUGAUAGGUACAUAAUAUGGUAAUUAUUUUAGCUGUACCCCGAUCCUAAUAAAGGUAGUGAAAAGUUAAGCUGUUCCAGUACGAAACUUGACAGCUUGAUUCAUAAGCAUGGACCUUGAACAGAGUUUGACAGCUUGAUUUCAGAGGCGUACCACACAAUCGUGGCCAUCAGUGAUGAGGCAACAGCCCCUAGGCAACAGUUUGGCGAGUGUUUCUGAAUCUGCUGAUGAUGCAAUUGACAACUUCUAGAUAAUAUAAACUAGUUGUAUUCUAUAAGUGGACUACUGUGUGUUUUGUGAUCAUAUGGUGUUUGCUCAUUUCAGACUGUUUCACUGAUGUGAAAAAACAUGUAAAUUGAAAUGUACUUUUCUCUCUCCCUCCCUUUUUCAG